rnacentral:rRNA from 1 species
GAUGAACGCUGGCGGCGUGCCUAAUACAUGCAAGUCGAGCGAACGGACGAGAAGCUUGCUUCUCUGAUGUUAGCGGCGGGCGGGUGAGUAACACGUGGAUAACCUACCUAUAAGACUGGGAUAACUUCGGGAAACCGGAGCUAAUACCGGAUAAUAUUUUGAACCGCAUGGUUCAAAAGUGAAAGACGGUCUUGCUGUCACUUAUAGAUGGAUCCGCGCUGCAUUAGCUAGUUGGUAAGGUAACGGCUUACCAAGGCAACGAUGCAUAGCCGACCUGAGAGGGUGAUCGGCCACACUGGAACUGAGACACGGUCCAGACUCCUACGGGAGGCAGCAGUAGGGAAUCUUCCGCAAUGGGCGGAAGCCUGACGGAGCAAGGCCGAGUGAGUGAUGAAGGUCUUCGGAUCGUAAAACUCUGUUAUUAGGGAAGAACAUAUGUGUACGUAACUGUGCACAUCUUGACGGUACCUAAUCAGAAAGCAACGGCUAACUACGUG